AGUCAAGAGGGAGUUGUACCUUUUUGCAAGGCAUUUGAAGAAAGGCCUGUCUUGAUUAUCAAUUUGUGUUUCCAACAGACACAACCCCCCAGUCCUUCAUGCAGGAAAACACAGCAGUGAAGUACCAAAAGUGAAGAGUGUCAAGGGAGGACUCUUCAAUGUUAGUCAGAUUCCAGACAGAUGAAAUUUCCUUGGCAUAGACCUAUUCCAUCUCUCCUCUGAAUCACAAUAAAUCUCGACUUGGAGGGUAACUGAU